AACGAACGCUGGCGGCAUGCCUAACACAUGCAAGUCGAACGGGGAUCCUAGCUUGCUAGGUGAGAGUGGCGGACGGGUGAGUAACACGUGGGAAUCUGCCUUUUGGUUCGGGAUAACCGCGGGAAACUGCGGCUAAUACCGAAUGCCCUCGAGAGAGGAAAGAUUUAUCGCCAGAAGAGGGAGCCCGCGUCCGAUUAGGUAGUUGGUGGGGGUAAAAGCCUACCAAGCCGACGAUCGGUAGCUGGUCUGAGAGGAUGAUCAGCCACACUGGACUGAGAUACGGCCCAGACUCCUACGGGAGGCAGCAGUGGGGAAUAUUGGACAAUGGGG
rnacentral:rRNA from 1 species